GUAUUCACAGGGUAGCUCAUAUACUAAAAUUGGAAUGGUCCAGAUUAGCAUAGCCCUGACAAGGAUGACACACAAAUUCAGAAAGUGCUCCAUAUUUUU
rnacentral:snRNA from 1 species